CCAAAAUAUUGCUACAUAUAAAAAAAGACAACUCUGUUCCGCAGAGUAGCUGUUGACAUUAUAGUUGCGCAGGCACUUUGUUGACUCUAGAGAACCUCGGGCCAAUCGCACAUCCCCGUGAUGGCGACUUUGCAUUUGGAUGUCAUCCAUAUCAACUUUCGAUGCCAGUUUCUGUGCCUACCAUGGUGACCACGGGUAAUGGGGAGUCAGGGUUCCAUUCUGUACAGGGACCCUGAGAAAUGGCUACCACAUGCAAGGAAGGCAGCAGGCGCGCAAAUGACCCACUUCCGAUGCGGGAAGGUAGUGACG